rnacentral:misc_RNA from 1 species
UUAAUGAUUUAAUCAUAAACUCAGACAGUCAAUUUCACAAUCGGGUUCAAAAUUGUCUUCGGCGGGCGCGGGCCAGGGGCUAAUGCUCCCGGCGGCCUUGCGGCGGGCCCGCCAAAGCAACAAGUGGUAUAAUAGUCAAGGGUGGAGUUUCGCGUGGCGCACUCCGGGCUUGGGGCCCGGCGCACCACAGCGGAAACACUUUAAUGAUCCUUCCGCAGGUUCACCUACGGAAA